rnacentral:rRNA from 1 species
UUGGAGGGCAAGUCUGGUGCCAGCAGCCGCGGUAAUUCCAGCUCCAAUAGCGUAUAUUAAAGUUGUUGCAGUUAAAAAGCUCGUAGUUGAAUUUCGGGAUUAGUACGCUGGUCGUGCCUUCGGUACGUACUGGUGUUACUGAUUUCUACCUUCUGACGAACCAUCAUGUCAUUAAUUUGGUGUGGUGGGGAAUCAGGACUGUUACUUUGAAAAAAUUAGAGUGUUUAAAGCAGGCUCGCGCUUGAAUACAUUAGCAUGGAAUAAUGAAAUAGGACGUUGAUCCUAUUUUGUUGGUUUCUAGGAUUGACGUAAUGAUUAAUAGGGAUAGUUGGGGGCAUUAGUAUUCAAUUGUCAGAGGUGAAAUUCUUGGAUUUAUUGAAGACUAACUACUGCGAAAGCAUUUGCCAAGGAUGUUUUCAUUAAUCAAGAACGAAAGUUAGGGGAUCGAAGACGAUCAGAUACCGUCAUAGUCUUAACCAUAAACUAUGCCGACUAGGGAUCGGAUGAUGUUAUUUUUAAUGACUCAUUCGGCGCCUUACGGGAAAC